ACGAAGGCCAGACUGAGGCGGCUUCUGUGGAUUGUCUGGGACUGCGGGCCCUGCUGGGGCCAGGGGUGGGGGGGAGGUCGAGGGAACCCUCCUGGGACUGUUUGUUUGGCUUUGCUGGCGAGGAGAUCCCAGAGCUCUGGUUGCCUGGGAACUGAGAAGGAGCAGCAGGACGGGGCCGAAAGUGUGUGUUCCUGUCCUUUAUCUCUCACAGCAAAGAAUUUCCUCUGACUUUGAUGAGAAAAUUAAAGGCAUUCACAAAAAAAAUCCAGCAAAACAGAUCAAGAAUAUCGACAAAAUCUGACCUUAAAAACGUUUGCCAGCCAUGGAUCUCCACUUCUGCAAAGGAGGGAGAGGGACCGACUUGUCAUCCCUUCCUUCGGGCCAAACUAGUCCUUCAUACUCACGCCUGCCUUUGUUACUAUUGGCAGAGGCCGACCCCUACUAGCUGAGUGACUGCGCUGGAUACAUAAUCCCUCUUUGCCUCAGUUUCCUCAUCUCUAAAAUGGGAAUGGCACUAUAACCUUCUUCCCAGGGUUAUUGUGGGAGUCAAAUGAGAAAUUCGUAAUGCACUUUGCACACCCUAAAUCGCUACAUAAAUUCUAGCUAUUAUUAUUAUAGGCCUUUUUUUUCAUGGCUUGCAAAGUGUUAGAGCUGGAAAGGUCCUUUGCCAUCAUCUAGUCUAACUCUCCCAGCCCCCCCAACCUCCUCCCCAUUUUUAAAACGGAGUUGUAAACUAAAGGGGGGGGUGGUCUAAGUAAUUUGCCCAGGAUCAUAGUGAUGUGAAUAAACAGAGGAGCAGGGGGAUGGGAAAUGAGAUCCUCCGGCUCCAAAUCCAGGGCUCUUUCCUCUACAGCUUCCUCACUUCAGCACUUCCAGAAUCCCAUGGUCCCUCCACCUGCUCUAAUAGCAACCACUUUUCAACAAGGCUUUAUUCGGGGCUGCUAUUAGCCAGGCGCUGGAGAUGACAAACCGAAAAACUGAAGAAGUCACUGCCCCUAGUGGAUUACUUCAUGAAUUACUUCAUGUGGUGUAAAAAAAAAAAAUUUAACUUGUUAAUGAGUCUCUCAUCACUCAACCAGGCUGAACAGUCUGUGUACCCCUCCUCCCCUCCCCACUUCCAUACUUGUAACCGUUCCAGUUGUGCGGUACCUGCCAGCGAGGUCACCCCUACACCAAGAUGAAGCAUCACGAGAGGAUGUUAGCCUUAUUAUUAUAAAAAGAAAUUUUUAAAAGUUGGAAGAAAAUGGAAUAUAUAUUUAUCUAUUGU